rnacentral:rRNA from 1 species
UAAGUGAAGAGUUUGAUCCUGGCUCAGAGUGAACGCUGGCGGUAGGCCUAACACAUGCAAGUCGAACGGCAGCACAGAGGAGCUUGCUCCUUGGGUGGCGAGUGGCGGACGGGUGAGGAAUA